GAUCCUGGUGUCUGCUUAGGCCAUAUUUCA
rnacentral:piRNA from 1 species